rnacentral:ncRNA from 1 species
CUAUCAGCUGUUUCUCGACUUACACAUGCAAGUCUCAGCGCACCAGUGAGAACGCCCUUACAACCUCCACCAGGUCAAGGAGCCGGUAUCAGGCUCAACCCCAUUUGCCCAUGACACCUAGUUUCACCACGCCCCCAAGGGUAGUCAGCAGUGAUAAAUCUUGAGUAUAAGCGCCAGCUUAACUCAGUCAGAGAAAAGAGAGUCGGCCAAUCACGUGCCAGCCGCCGCGGUUAAACUACGAGACUCAAGUUGAUAAAUAUCGGCGUCAAGCGUGAUUAAAGUUCCCAUCAUCAUUAGAAUCAAAUUAACACUGAAUAGUCAAAUCCAUGCUGUUAAGAAGCCCAUAAACGAAAGUUAUUCUAUUUAUUUACUUGAACUCACGAAAGCUAGGGUACAAACUGGGAUUAGAUACCCCACUAUGCCUUGCCGUAAAUAUUACUUACACCAACAACGCCUGGGUAGUACGAGCUAUGCUUAAAACCCAAAGGACUUGACGGUGCCACACCCACCUAGAGGAGCCUGUUCUGUAAUCGAUGAUCCCCGCUUCACCCAACCAUUCCUUGCUUAUCAGUCUGUAUACCUCCGUCGCAAGCUCACCCUCUGAAAGUUAAUAGUGGGCCUAAUGACCCAUAGCGCCAAAACGUCAGGUCAAGGUGCAACUCACGGAAUGGAAAGUAAUGGGCUACAAUUUCUAAAAUAGAACAAACGAAAGACUAUGUGAAACCUAGUCAUGAAGGCGGAUUUAGAAGUAAAAAGAAAAUAGUGUGUUCUUUUUAAUUCGGCUCUGUGGCGCGUACACACCGCCCGUCACCCUCUUCGACAACCUACAUUUAGAUCUAUAACCCAUUUUUGUUAUU